rnacentral:rRNA from 1 species
GGGUUGUGAGGUUAAGCGACUAAGCGUACACGGUGGAUGCCCUGGCAGUCAGAGGCGAUGAAGGACGUGCUAAUCUGCGAUAAGCGCCGGUAAGGUGAUAUGAACCGUUAUAACCGGCGAUUUCCGAAUGGGGAAACCCAGUGUGAUUCGUCACACUAUCAUUAACUGAAUCCAUAGGUUAAUGAGGCGAACCGGGGGAACUGAAACAUCUAAGUACCCCGAGGAAAAGAAAUCAACCGAGAUUCCCCCAGUAGCGGCGAGCGAACGGGGAGGAGCCCAGAGCCUGAAUCAGCAUGUGUGUUAGUGGAAGCGUCUGGAAAGGCGCGCGAUACAGGGUGACAGCCCCGUACACAAAAGCGCACAUGCUGUGAGCUCGAUGAGUAGGGCGGGACACGUGGUAUCCUGUCUGAAUAUGGGGGGACCAUCCUCCAAGGCUAAAUACUCCUGACUGACCGAUAGUGAACCAGUACCGUGAGGGAAAGGCGAAAAGAACCCCGGCGAGGGGAGUGAAAAAGAACCUGAAACCGUGUACGUACAAGCAGUGGGAGCACCCUUUGGGGUGUGACUGCGUACCUUUUGUAUAAUGGGUCAGCGACUUAUAUUCUGUAGCAAGGUUAACCGUAU